CAACAAUUCAUCUCCCUCGACGCGACUUCACACUCAGAUUUUCACGGAUUUUGAUUUUCGAUGCCUCUUCUCGGGAACUCUCUUCUUCGUUGAGGGAAAGAUCUACGGUUGAUAGUGUUUAAGGCAAAGGUAUGCCGAGGUUGCUCGACCUCGUUCUUUACCCCGGCUGCUGUGAAGGUUGGCGGCGGAACGAUGUAGGUUGGCCUAGUGAAAAGAAAGACACCUUCAGAACUGAGAGUAAGUUUUCAAUUCAUGGAUGUUUUGUAUAGAAAUGGGCAUUGGGUCGUGGAUGGCUGGAGGCGGAGGAGUCGGACUGAUCGUUUAAGUGAAGUUGAUCCCAUAUUAGCCUCCUUCUCUGGAGGAGCUGUUGGAGUGAUCUUAACACUGACGUUGGCUGAGAAGUAUGGAGUGAAUGGAUAUUCUGCAUUAAAUUUUGUUUCCAAAGGGAAACAAGGAUGGUGAAGAGUGUGGUGGAGGCUGAGAUUUAGAAGAUUUUGUAAAUGUCAUCAAUGAGAAAUGUAGGACGAGCAGAGAUGCGAAAG